GGUUUUCCUACCUCAGCACUGGUUCCUGCAGAGGUUUCUGCUCUGAAACCUGACCUCUGGUGGAUGACUGCCGGUCUUCAUUGCAAAUCUCCUUUAUGCUGACAAUGGUAAUCUGGAGCUCUCAAAAUGUUUGCCAAAGCAACAAGGAAUUUUCUUAGAGAAGUUGAUGCUGGAGGUCACCUGAUUGCUGUAUCAAACUUGAAUGACUCUGAUAAAUUACAACUUCUAAGUCUGGUGACCAAAAAAAAGAGAUUGUGGUGCUGGCAGAGACCCAAGUACCAGUUUUUAUCUGUCACCCUGGGAGAUGUACUCACAGAAGACCAGUUUUUGAGUCCAGUGGUCGUGGAGUCGGACUUUGUGAAGUACGAGGGCAAGUUUGAAAACCAUGUGAGUGGGACCCUGGAGACGGCACUGGGGAAGGUCAAGCUGAACGUUGGUGGCAAAGGCCUCGUGGAGAGUCAGUCCUCGUUUGGAAGCCUGAGGAAGCAGGAGCUGGACUUGCAGCGGCUCAUUGGAGUUGCCCGGGAGAGAACAAUAAAUCUGAAGAAUCCAGUGCUGCAGCAGGUGCUGGAGAGGAAGAAUGAGGUCCUGUGUGUCCUGACACAGAAGAUAGUGACGACGCAGAAGUGUGUGAUAUCCGAGCACGUCCAGAUGGAGGAGAAGUGCGGUGGCAUGGUGGGGAUGCAGACCAAGAAGGUGCAGGUGUGCACCCAGCGAGUGGAGGUGUCAGCGACGGAGGAUGGGAACAUCAUCAAGGACAGUAAUGUGGUGCUGGAAAUCCCGGCUCCCACCACCAUCGCCUACGGCGUCGUCGAGCUGUACGUGAGAGCAGACGGCCGGUUCGAAUUCUGCCUUCUGCAAGGGAAGCACGGGGGCUUCGAGCAGGAGAGGAGAAGUGACUCUGCCUUGCUGGACCUCCUGCCCUUAAAAGAGUUUGCGUUCUGGGACAUGCCAGAUGCUGGGCAAGGGCUGCCUGCCUCGGAUGGGCCACUGAGUGUUUUAAAACAAGCCACUCUGUUCUUGGAGAGGAAUUUCCAUCCCUUUGUGGAGCUGCCAGAGCAGCAACAGAGAGCUCUGAACGACGUCCUCCAGGCGGUCCUGUUUGAUGAAGAAUUACUCUUGGUUCUGGAGCAAGUGUGUGAGGACAUAGUCAGCAGCCUGUCACCCUCAUUGGCGGUGCUGGGGAAGCUGAAGCCUUCACAGCAGCGGGACCUCGUGGCCUUCCUGCGGCUAGUGGGAUACAGUGUGCAGGGCGAGUGUCCAGGCCCGGAGGAUGUGGUCCACAACCAGAAACUCCUUUCUACGGCCUACUUCUUGGUCAGUGCGCUAGCAGAAAUGCCAGAUAAUGCAGCAGUUCUGCUGGGCACUUGUUGUAAGCUCCAGAUUAUUCCUACACUGUGCCACCUGCUCCAUGCUCUGUCUGAUGAUGGUGUGUCUGAUCUUGAAGACCCAGUCUUGGCUCCACUGAAAGAUACAGAAAGGUUUGGGAUCGUGCAGCGUCUGUUUGCCUCAGCUGACAUUAACCUGGAGAGACUGCAACCUUCCGUGAAAGCUGCCACCCGGAAGGACCCUAACGUUUUCCCACUGGUUCUUUAUAUAAGCCUGAAUGGACUCUGUGCUUUGGGCAGAGCACAGUAACAGUGUCCUAUGUGGAUUACAGUCUUUCCAGCUGGCACUCGUGUUUGAAUUUAUGAGUAUUCUGUGUCUUCUGUUUCACUGAUACUAAGGAACUGGCUUGGAAUGAGACCAGCGCUUCCUCCCUCUUUUACAUGGCUAGCCUAGAAUCAAAUUAAUGAAUUGUAUAUCUCAGUGAUCAAAACUUGAGACCACAUUCUAAUAA